AACGAACGCUGGCGGCGUGGAUAAGACAUGCAAGUCGAACGGGACAGACCGAGUAGCAAUAUUUGGAAUGUUCAGUGGCGAACGGGUGCGUAACACGUGGAUAACAUUCCGGAAAGCGGGGAAUAGCCCAGGGAAACUUGGAUUAAUACCGCAUGUGGCCGCAAGGCUAAAGACGGGGACCGCAAGGGCUGUCACUUUCCGAUUGGCUCGCGGCCUAUCAGCUAGUUGGCGGGGUAAUGGCCCACCAAGGCUACGACGGGUAGCUGGUCUUAGAGGACGACCAGGCACACUGGAACUGAGACACGGUCCAGACACCUACGGGUGGCAGCAGUCGAGAAUCUUUCACAAUGGGGGCAACCCUGAUGGAGCGACGCCGCGUGGAGGAUAAGGUCUUCGGAUUGUAAACUCCUGUCAUGCGAGAACAAGGUACUCAGGCUAAUAACCUGAUUGUUUGAUGGUACCGCAAGAGGAAGAGACGGCUAACUCUGUGCCAGCCGCCGCAGUAACAC
rnacentral:rRNA from 1 species